GGGAGCGGAUGUGGUCUGGUGGCUGCCGUCGUCUUCAAAACGGCUGUGACCCGACGCUGUCGGGUUGGGUGGGUUCGAUUCCCGCACGCUCCCGCCA
rnacentral:tRNA from 1 species